rnacentral:ncRNA from 1 species
AUCAAAGCUUUGAGAAAGAGGAGUAGCAAUUUCCGUACUUUACAGCGAGCUGAUGGCGGUGGAAAUCAGUAGGGAAGGAAUUGUGAAUGGACUUUCGAGCGAAAUACUGAAUCAUAGUAGGUAAUUCCGGGAACUCCCGUUAUAGAGAAAGGUCGUUGUUAGACGACUGAUAAAGAGGAAAGAUGUAUUCUUUCGAUAUUGAGGUGGCACCGUGAACUUUCACCCUCAAA